GACGAACGCUGGCGGCGUGCUUAACACAUGCAAGUCGAGCGGUAAGGCCCUUUCGGGGGUACGACGAGCGGCGAACGGGUGAGUAACACGUGGGUGACCUGCCCUCAGCUCUGGGAUAAGCCUGGGAAACCGGGUCUAAUACUGGAUAUGACUCCAUGACGCAUGUUGGUGGGGUGGAAAGCCUUGUGCGGCUGAGGAUGGGCCCGCGGCCUAUCAGCUUGUUGGUGGGGGUGAGGCCUACCAAGGCGACGACGGGUAGCCGGCCUGAGAGGGCGACCGGCCACACUGGGACUGAGACACGGCCCAGACUCCUACGGGAGGCAGCAGUGGGGAAUCUUGCGCAAUGGGCGAAAGCCUGACGCAGCGACGCCGCGCGAGGGAUGACGGCCU
rnacentral:rRNA from 1 species